rnacentral:tRNA from 1 species
AUGGAUUUAAGCUCCAUUUAUAAAGAUUAAACUUUUUUUAGAA